rnacentral:rRNA from 1 species
AUUGAACGCUGGCGGCAUGCCUAACACAUGCAAGUCGAGCGAUCGGCGGACGGGUGAGUAAUGUAUGGGGACCUCCCCGAUAGAGGGGGAUCACCACUGGAAACGGUGGCUAAUACCCCUUACUCUCGGAUGAACCCAUAUGGGAUUAGCUAGUGGGUGGGUUAAAGGCUAACCUAGGCGACGACCUCUACCUGGUCGGAGAGGGUGACCAGCCACAAUGGGACUAAGACACGGCCCAGACUCCUACGGGAGGCGGCAGUGGGGAAUAUUGCACAAUGGGCGCAAACCGGAUGCGGCCAGGCCGCGUGAAGGAAGAAGUCCUUGGGGUUGUAAAGUACUUUCAGCGGGGAGACGUUACCCGCAGAAGAAGCGCCGGCUAACUACGUGCCAGCAGCCGCGGUAAUAC